rnacentral:misc_RNA from 1 species
GAUGAAGAACGCAGCGAAAUGCGAUAAGUAAUGUGAAUUGCAGAAUUCAGUGAAUCAUCGAAUCUUUGAACGCACCUUGCACCCUUUGGUAUUCCGAAGGGUAUGCUCGUUUGAGUGUCAUUGUACUCUCACACUUCUAAUUCCUUUCGGGAUUGGGAGCGGUGGACUUGGGUGUUGCUGCUUUAGUUGUGGCUCACCUCAAAUAAGUUAGUGCAACUCUUGGUUGGACAUAGUACGGCGUGAUAAGUGUCUUCGCCGGCGCCUCUGUAAGGAGGGUGGCCGAUCGGGAGCUCUGUGCUUCAAACCGUCUUCGGACAAUCUUUGACAACUUGACCUAAAAUCGAGUAGGACUACCCGCUGAACUUAAGCAUAUCAAUAAGCGGAGGA